rnacentral:rRNA from 1 species
GGGGAAUAUUGGACAAUGGGCGAAAGCCUGAUCCAGCAAUGCCGCGUGUGUGAAGAAGGCCUGCGGGUUGUAAAGCACUUUCAGCAGGGAAGAACAGCGCAGGGCUAAUAUCCCUGUGUCCUGACGUCACCUGAAGAAGAAGCACCGGCUAACUCCGUGCCAGCAGCCGCGGUAAUACGGAGGGUGCGAGCGUUAAUCGGAAUUACUGGGCGUAAAGCGCACGUAGGUGGCUUGGUAAGUCGGAUGUGAAAGCCCUGGGCUCAACCUGGGAACUGCACCCGAAACUGCCUGGCUAGAGUAAGGGAGAGGGAAGCGGAAUUUCCGGUGUAGCGGUGAAAUGCGUAGAUAUCGGAAGGAACACCAGUGGCGAAGGCGGCUUCCUGGCCCAUUACUGACACUGAGGUGCGAAAGCGUGGGGAGCAAAC